rnacentral:rRNA from 1 species
ACCGGAACACAGGUGCUGCAUGGCUGUCGUCAGCUCGUGUCGUGAGAUGUUGGGUUAAGUCCCGCAACGAGCGCAACCCUUGUCAUUAGUUGCCAUCAUUUGGUUGGGCACUCUAAUGAGACUGCCGGUGACAAACCGGAGGAAGGUGGGGAUGACGUCAAGUCCUCAUGGCCCUUAUGGGUAGGGCUUCACACGUCAUACAAUGGUCGGUACAGAGGGUUGCCAACCCGCGAGGGGGAGCUAAUCCCACAAAGCCGAUCGUAGUCCGGAUCGCAGUCUGCAACUCGACUACGUGAAGUCGGAAUCGCUAGUAAUCGCAGGUCAGCAUACUGCGGUGAAUACGUUCCCGGGUCUU